UCCGGCUUACACCGGCGGUCUCUUGUGAGUGCCCGACAUUACUCGCUGGUAACACAAGACGAGGGUUGCGCUCGUUGGCGGACUUAACCGUACACCUCACGGCACGAGCUGACGACAGCCAUGCAACAUCUGUUUUCAGGCCUCCUUGUGGGAGGGGGACGUAUCUCUACGCCUUUCCUUCAAUGUCAAGAGUGGGUAAGGUUCUUCGGUUAGUAUCGAAUUAAUCCACAUGCUCCACCGCUUGUGCGGGUCCCCGUCAAUUCAUUUGAGUUUCAACCUUGCGGCCGUACUCCCCAGGCGGGAUACUUAAUGCGUUAGCUGCGGCACAGGAGGGGUCGAUACCUCCUACGCCUAGUAUCCAUCGUUUAGGGCGUGGACUAC
rnacentral:misc_RNA from 1 species